rnacentral:rRNA from 1 species
AACGAACGCUGGCGGCAUGCCUAACACAUGCAAGUCGAACGAGACCUUCGGGUCUAGUGGCGCACGGGUGCGUAACGCGUGGGAACCUGCCCUUAGGUUCGGAAUAACUCCCCGAAAGGGGUGCUAAUACCGGAUAAUGUCUUCGGACCAAAGAUUUAUCGCCUUUGGAUGGGCCCGCGUUGGAUUAGCGAGUUGGUAGGGUAAAAGCCUACCAAGGCGACGAUCCAUAGCUGGUCUGAGAGGAUGAUCAGCCACACUGGGACUGAGACACGGCCCAGACUCCUACGGGAGGAAGCAGUGGGGAAUAUUGGAGAAUGGGCGAAAGCCUGAUCAAGCAAUGCCGCGUGAGUGAUGAAGGCCGUAGGGUUGUAAAGCUCUUUUACACGGGAUGAUAAUGACAGUACCGGGAGAAUAAGCACCGGCUAACUCCGUG